rnacentral:rRNA from 1 species
GUCCUAGCCCUAAACGAUCAGGACUUGGGGUGCAUCCAGACGGGGUGCGUCCCGUAGCUAACGCGUUAAGUCCUGCGCCUGGGGAGUACGGUCGCAAGACUGAAACUCAAAGGAAUUGACGGGGGCCCGCACAAGCGGUGGAACAUGUGGUUCAAUUCGACGCGACGCGAAGAACCUUACCUGGGCUUGAACUGCUACUGACCAGCGGUGGAAACAUCGCAUUCUCGCAAGAGACAGUAGUAGAGGUGCUGCAUGGCUGUCGU